UGAACUGUUGCUGCAUGAACUCAGUGUGUCUUGUCACUGGUCUGUCUCUGAAACUGUGACAAUUGGUGGACCCUGAUGUGAUUGCAACAGCUGCUGCCAAUAGAGCAGGGAGACAGACGGGGCAACCAGGAGGAGUUGCUUGCAGCCUCUGAGCUGCAAAGAACGGCAUAUAGAGCUGUGAUUAGUCUGGACCCCCUUUAUUUUUUCUUUUCUUUUUUUCUUUUUUCUUUUUGUAAGUGGAAGACACCACCAGCAUGGGAGCAUGGUCUUCAACACCAGAGGACCCCCUCCUGAAGAGCAAGCAGGUGGUGAGAACGGCAGAGGAAUCACAACUGGUACUGUCCACCAAGGCGAAUGGCAAAAGCACGGCACCAAAGGAGGCAGCGGGGCAGGCAGACGUCGUGCUGGAUGCAAGAAGGAAAAGGAUGGGUACAGAAAGUACAACGUGCGGGGAGGUCUACGGGCGGAGCUGUGGAGCCUCCCCAAGCGAGGGUGACCUACCCGGGGAGCGCCCUGACACCCUCCAGGACCCGUCCCUGAGGCCAUCAGCGAAACCGCCCCAAGCGGCUGUGCUGUGUUAAAUGGGCACUCUACAGCCCCUCUGUGCCCUGCUUGAGAUGAGGGAUUACAUUUUGUUCGUCACGAAAAAGAGACCAGUGUGUUACAAGAGUUGUCUGCUGACUAUUUCUGUACUACUUCAUGAGAUAUGAGCUACAAGGAUACCAGGGAAGGGGUUGCAGGAGCCCACACAUAGUCCCACCCAGCAAAUGGUACAAACAGAUAACUCACAGAAAUAACGACCAGGGAAAGGCUGGGGAAAGGGUAGGGGCAGAUUAACACCCAGCAGGGAAACCUUUCCUGCUGACAAAUGGUACAAGCAGAUAACUCACAGAGAUAACGACCAGGGAAAAGCUGGGGAAGGGGCAGGGGCAGAUAAACAGUCUGCAAGGCAGGAUAUUUGCUUGCUUAAGCUUGAUAGGGCACAUAUUGCGUUAAUCAUAAGAUUUUGGUAAUUUUCCACAGAGAAGUCACCAAAUAAAGACAUAGGGUGAAGAAGACGCAGCUGAGGAAGACUCCGCAGCCUUUUAUCACCGACCACCAGGAGACAGAAGGAUGACCCUCUAGCAACAACCAGCGCAGGCGCAGAGAACUCCGAGAUAACAUGGACUCCUGAAGGAUGGAGAGGAUAAAAGGACUGAAUCAGAAACUAGUUGGCGCGGCAGUAGGUGGAGCGGAGACUCCCCUGUCGCCCAGCACUGAGCCUUUGCUUACGUAGUAUAACUGCUUCAAUAAUUAAUAAAUUCUUUGAUUGGAAAUUACUCGUUUUGAGUCAAUUUUAUAACAAUUUGGUGCCGCGACUCGGAUGAGAGUUUGGAUCGGGUGGGAUCUACCCAGAGUGGGGGGCGCCUCAUCCAGUGCUUUCCGGGUGGCCCCUCUGGGAGAACCUCCGCCACUCUCACCGACGACCCUAAAAUAUAUACUAGUAAGCAAACGGGACAAAUUAUACCGGUGAACCCCUUAAUAAUCUGUGCACGGAGUCCGGACGAAGACGCAGGACGCGUACAGCCAGGAGAUUGGGUGCUCGUGAAAAGCUGGAAAGAAAACCCCUUGACUCCAAGGUGGGAAGGACUGUUCCAAGUACUCCUCAGCACAGAAGCAGCCAUACGAACCGCUGAAAAAGGAUGGACUCAUGCUAGUCGCAUAAAAGGACCGGUAAAACCCCCUCACAGCUGGGAGGUUUGCAGUCUCCCGAGAGAAACCAAAUUAAAGCUGAAACGAACUGAUAAAUGAUUUGGAUAGUAAUCUGGGUUGGAGAUAACCAUUAUCUCCAAACCCAGCUAAUAGGGAAUCGGGAGGCUCUUGGAUAUUGCAAACUCUUAGAGGACGAGUUAAGAAAGCCCUACUUUAAGUCCCCGAGAUUAGAACAUAAAGGGCACCCAUGGAAGGGGGAAAAAGCACAAAACAAAGAUAUAAGGUUAAAGUGUAACUGGUUAGAUUGUGACUGUCACCCCCUUGUAUGCUUUUCCUGUAAAUUGUGUCAUGAACCUUGGUGGUCUCAUUGUCGGAGUGGUAGAACACCUAGGGGAAUUUUCACGCCGUGCUAUGAGAAAGAGAGGAGACUAACUUCUAUCAUUCCUAGUAGCAGAGUUGCUACGGGGGAGGUAAAGCUUGGAUCUGACGAGUGGUGGGAAACCUUUUCCAAAGGGGUAAAUCCUGAUCGGUUCUGCUACCACCCUAACGAACCGAUCCCCUUUCUCCUGGACAUCCUGGAAGUGGUGUGUCAGAAGAAAGCCCCCAAUUUGUGGCGUGACCUCUCAUUAAUAAAAGCUAAUAACUGGGCCGCCAGUGCUAAAAAGUGGAAAUGGGAGGUUUAUCCGGCUCCUGAAGAAUACCUCUGCUGCCGAGAAGAUGGUAAACCCCGAGGCUCGCAGCAACCGAGUCGUCGGGCGAGGCAGAGAGGUAAUAACCAGUGGAGUCCGUCGGAAGCCUCGACCCCCAUAUGGGAUGUCCAGGAAAUGUUGGCCGUCCUGCCCCAGGAUUGGUAACCCACCACUGGGGAAACCAAAGGUAAAAUUUAACCUGAGCUCCGACAAUGACAGCCCCAAAUUACAAGCCUUAAUUCUUUUCUGGUGCAUUGUAACAAGUUCAGGGGCAGAAGGGUAUUCACAUCAACCCUUCAAAUGGUCACUGAUUAGAUGGGAAGACCAGUAUGUUAUCCAGACCAAAAUCACGUCUGGCGCACCCAGGUUUUUAUGUACUUUGUGUGAUUUAAUACCUGUAAAUCCAUGUUUAAAUCAGUUUGGAUAUUAUUUUUGUCCAAGCUCAAACCCAGGAAAAGGGUAUUGUAACUAUCCAGGACACUUUUACUGUGCUUAUUGGGACUGUGUAUCAGUAAGCUCCUUUGGGGGGAACGAGGACGGGUUUAUCAGAACUGGAUGGGGUCCAUACGGGUGUACACAGCCCACUUCCACAUAUACCCAGAAAGAAGGAGGGUUAGAUGGAACAUGCAAUAUGAUUUACAUUAAUGUGACAAAACCACAUGACCAAGUCUGGUUAUUAGGGAAAAUGUGGGGAGCCCGAUUAUGGAACCAGGGACAGACAGAGGGGGGCACUUUAUAAUCCAAAAGACAACCGUGCCACACAACCCCGAACCAAUUGGACCAAACCAGGCGAUAGCUGGAGAACUAACGCUAGGAGAAAAUAAUGGAAAUGAAUCAGAAACAGCCCCAACCACUAGUCUUCCAGAAAUGUAUAAGCAAAACUUUGCUAAUUCGACCCGAGGACCUGAAAACCCGGGAGAAGGGGACUUGUGGAAAAUAUUACAGGCCACUUUCCUAGUCCUGAAUGAGACCCAUCCAAAUCUAACUGAGGAAUGUUGGCUGUGUUACACCGUAAACCCCCCGUUCUAUGAAGCCAUAGGGGUAACAGCAAAAAAGCAGACGAGUAAAUGGGACCAACCCAGCUAGGUGCCUAUGGAAAAAAGAAGGAGAAGAAUCGAGAGGGAUAACCUUGGCAAGGGUAAUGGGGAGAGGAAGAUGUAUAGGACGAGUACCAGUGGAAAAACGACAUCUAUGUCAGGUUAUGGGGAAUUUGAGUGACCCUAAGAAACCUGCCAGCUGGAUACUGCCAGCAGCAAAUACUAAAUGGGUCUGUAACACUCUCGGAGUCACCCCAUGUAUAAAUAUAGACCGAUUUAAUGAAUCCAGUGACUUUUGUAUUCAAGUAUUGAUAGUACCCAGAGUCCUUUACCACCCCGUAGAAUACAUUUAUGAACAAUAUCAAAAUAUAGGACCCCACAUAGUGAAACGGGAAAUAUUCACAACCUUCACUGUGGCAAUGUUACUAGGAAUAGGUGCAGCCGGGACAGGAACAGGAAUAGCCUCACUCAUACAGCAACACCGAGGAUUCCAAGAACUAAGAGCCUCUGUAGAUGAAGACCUCACAGAAUCAUUAGAUUCCCUAGCAGAGGUAGCCUUACAAAAUCGAAGGGGGUUAAAUCUAUUAUUCCUGCAACAAGGAGGACUAUGUGCUGCUUUAAGAGAAGAAUGCUGCACAUAUGUAAACAAGAGCGGAAUUAUACGGGACUCAAUGGCAAAACUAAGGGAGGGGCUAGAAAGAAGACAAAGAGAAAGGGAAAAACACCAAAGCUGGUAUGAAUCUUGGUUUAACUAUUCUCCUUGGCUUACAACUUUAUUAUCAACGAUAGCGGGUCCACUACUUCUCUUACUAUUGGGACUCACGUUUGGCCCUUGUAUUUUUAAUAAAUUGAUUAGCAUUGUAAAAGGCAGAUUAGAAGCUGCUCACCUUAUGCUCAUACGAGCAAAAUACGAAACCUUGAAGAUGGAUGAUCCAGAAGAAUCUCUGGAGCUCAGCAAAAGGGAAUUAGAGCGUUUUGACGAACAAAAUUGAGUAUCAAAACAAAGGGGGGAUUGAGAUGAGGGAUUACAUUUUGUUCGUCACGAAAAAGAGACCAGUGUGUUACAAGAGUUGUCUGCUGACUAUUUCUGUACUACUUCAUGAGAUAUGAGCUACAAGGAUACCAGGGAAGGGGUUGCAGGAGCCCACACAUAGUCCCACCCAGCAAAUGGUACAGAUAACUCACAGAAAUAACGACCAGGGAAAGGCUGGGGAAAGGGUAGGGGCAGAUUAACACCCAGCAGGGAAACCUUUCCUGCUGACAAAUGGUACAAGCAGAUAACUCACAGAGAUAACGACCAGGGAAAAGCUGGGGAAGGGGCAGGGGCAGAUAAACAGUCUGCAAGGCAGGAUAUUUGCUUGCUUAAGCUUGAUAGGGCACAUAUUGCGUUAAUCAUAAGAUUUUGGUAAUUUUCCACAGAGAAGUCACCAAAUAAAGACAUAGGGUGAAGAAGACGCAGCUGAGGAAGACUCCGCAGCCUUUUAUCACCGACCACCAGGAGACAGAAGGAUGACCCUCUAGCAACAACCAGCACAGGCGCAGAGAACUCCGAGAUAACAUGGACUCCUGAAGGAUGGAGAGGAUAAAAGGACUGAAUCAGAAACUAGUUGGCGCGGCAGUAGGUGGAGCGGAGACUCCCCUGUCGCCCAGCGCUGAGCCUUUGCUUACGUAGUAUAACUGCUUCAAUAAUUAAUAAAUUCUUUGAUUGGAAA